rnacentral:lncRNA from 1 species
AACUACCGAGUGGUCCAUUAAAUAGGGAUUUCAUAAUCUGGAACAUUAGUUACUGCGUCAAUCAGUGCAUACCAGGAAAAAACAUAAGAACAAGACACUUCCUACCAAAAUAUAUGUGUCCUCUAAAACCAGAAUCGACAUGAACAAACAAAAGAAUUGUUGACGAACAACACUUGGACGAAGCAAAUCAUUCUAAGCCUACAAUUGAUAAGAUGGGUGGGACAUACGCAAAGGAAUUGUUGACGAACAACACUUGGACGAAGCAAAUCAUUCUAAGCCUACAAUUGAUAAGAUGGGUGGGAACACAUAUGCACGGGCCAGCCACUGAGUGAUGCAUUUAAAUAGGGAUCUCGCAAUCUGCACCGAUAGUUGAUGCAUCAAUAUAUAAUAGGAAAGAUUUCAUAAAGAAGAGCAAGGGUAUUACUAAUGGCAGGGGCAAGCAUUAUUGGCAUCUUGGCAGUCGCUUAAUAUGUCAAUCUUUUGAUCGUCAUCUUCAACUUCCUUACAUUCUGGACAUUUUCUCUUUUAAAUCACUUGAAUGGUCUUCAAAUAGCAUUGCCCACGAGGAUAUGCCUCACUACGGCAAGCCACGCCAACACAUACACCACAAGAAGGAGGAGCAUCACAUCCUCGUCUGUUCUGCGGUGUGGUGGCGGAUGUGCCUAUCCUGCGGAGUGCCGAGGAGUGACAGCAACCUAGGUUAUGAUCAGCAGCAGCAUGAGCACAACGACGGUAAGAGAAAUAGGGAAGGAUAAAGUGCACGGAAGAGGCGGGUAGAAGCAGCGAGGACCUUGAGGACGGCGCUGCCCGAGUCGUCCUCCUUGAUGAGGAAGCACCAAGGGAAACUUGAUGCUUGCCGCUGGCCUCCCUGAUGAAUUGGAGCUGAGCACUACGGGGUCAGAGGUGCAGCGCCUCAUGCUUCUCCCGCUGACCACCGAGGAAAGCGAGGCCAGCUUGGGAGCAAAAGAGCCAGAAG